rnacentral:lncRNA from 1 species
UAAACCCCGGUUUUUAACCACGGUCCAACAUUAAACUCUCAACUCUCUGCCUUCACUAGUUCAUUGACUGGUCCGGAUUUAAAAACGUUGAUAUAAAUGUCUACAUAGUUCACUUGCUAUAACAUAUAUAAGAUAUAUUCCAACAGUGAAAAGCAUCACAUAUUUAUAUACAAGGUUACCUAUAAUUAAGCUACUAAUUAGGGAGCAAUACAAUAUCUACAUAAAUAUCUAUAUAGUUGACUUCCUUUAACAGAUGUGUGUAUAAAUUUAGGUUGUGGCACCUCACUUUAGAAAGGUCUUCUUCGCCUCUCAUCUCUCGCUCUUGCUUAAGGUCAUAGGACACUUAUCGCCUUGGUGUUGAUUCUAGCUUUAAUAACAUUGGCUAUUGAAAUGAAAGGGCUAGAUAAGAAAUGUAGCACACAUUGGAAAUGGAUGGUAGCACCAGUUAAGAAUUGAGGGCUGGUUGUCUGCACUCUGAAUUCUGAAAUGGUUUCACUAUAUCUGACAUUAAACAUUUUGAUUUGCCAGUGCAAUAAAGGAGUGUGGAUUAUAGACCAAAAAAUGAUAUGAAUUGAAGUGGCAAAAAUUGAUUUGAUGUCACAAACUCACAAUAGCUUGCAUAAAACGUUGGCUCUAAAUGGAAUAUAACAAACAAAAAAGAUUCAUGUAACUAUGCCCAAUUUGGUUGGUGAAAUUUAAACAGUUGGUUCAUUAUCUAUGACUUCAUCAUCUAAUCUGUGUUGCUUAAAUGUUCACAUUUUAUUAGUGAAGUACGUGAUUCUCCAUUUCUUCUUGUUUGCAUUACAUAUGCCAUGAUUAAACUUUAGGCACUAUAAAUUAUUAAAAAGUGUAGAUAAUCAGUUUUAAAUGUGAUACAGCAUGUCACUAAUAAUAAUGUUAAGAAUACACUAGCGCUGUUUACUCGUGCAUGCUGUUCCUUCUCUGGAAACUAGCAUUUCUUAAUAGUUUGGGCAUUUGGAAACAAGGAGAUAUAAGUUAGAGAGGCUUUUAUAAUAUUCAUCAUGGGCUCAAACUAUUGUAAAUUAUUUAUCUAUCACGCAGCAGGGCUUCUUGGUUUUUAUUUUAUUUUCUUCCGUGUCUUUGUUUGUCUUUCCCUUCUCCCAUGCCCUUCUCUCUCUUCCAGCGUCUUUGUCUUCUUCUUCUUCUUCUUCUUUGUUUGUCCUCCUUUUAUAUGUUUUUGUAAUUAACAGUAGGCAUCUUCCAUUCUAUUUCUGAGUCCGGUUCAACUUAAGAACCGGAACUGGAACCAUAAACAAGCCUCCAAAUUCUUUGAUUUUUAGGAACUACAAUUGGCACUUAACUCUUGUGGUGGCUUGUUCUAAGCAAGUUUGACAUAUUCUUUGUUCUAGCUUUGACUCCAUUUUGAUUUCAAUUGUGCUUCUAAUUUUGAUUCGAAUCUUGACUCUUGCACCUAUACAUUCUUGUGUUCAUUUUAUUAUUAAAAAUAAUACUAAAUAUAUAACAUCAAAACAAUAAUAAAAAAUAAUUAGUGCUAACAUCAUAUGAAAAGUAUAUUAUGUAUAGCCCUUAAUGAGUAUAUUACAUUACCUUGUACCUAUUUUUUAGUUACAUAGUCUUUAACUAAAAGAUACCUGUAAUUAAGAACUAAAAGAAUUUAUCAUAUGACUAACAUAUGAUGUAGUUAUAUCAUUAAAGGCUGUAAGGUGAUUUAAUGUAGUUAUGACUAAAAUUAUUUAGAAAAGUAGAAAAUAUAUAAACUAGUGAUUAAAGAUAAAUUAGACUGUAUAUAUAUCUUUGUGUGUGCGUG